rnacentral:lncRNA from 1 species
GCUCGUAGCGAAUUUGUUUUAAUUUGAUAGUAUUGAAUUUAUGUUUAAGGCUAUGCGUUUUAUGUUCGAAAACAAAUUAGAAAUUUAUUUGUUUUUCUCUCAUGUGGUUAUACAGCUUUUGGAGUCGUUUCCUGACUGGAGAGACACAGAGUAUUUUACGUUCACUAAUAUCACUGGAGAGACAAUUACAACAAUGAAGCUGGGCUUCGUACUUCUGAGGGAAAAUUUAUUUACCAAAUGCACUGAUGGGGUAUAUCAUCUAUCAGAGUUUUUAUUCAUAAUUUUAAAAAUUUUAUAUGGUUUAAUCACUUUCUUUUAUUUUCUCAACCUAAAGAUUUUUACAAAGAGAAUAAGGAAAAUAAAUAGAAAACAAAAGAAUUGAUCAAUAGUGCUCAAUUUAAAAUUGUGAAUAGUAUUUUAGACGGUAUUCUAAUUAAGCCACAUAAAUAAAGUUUAAUGAUUUUAAAUUUACAAAUUAAAAUUAAGUGGUAAUAUGGAAAAUAUUUACAAAAUUAACUUUUAAAUGUUGUUAGGCUAUAAUUUUUUGUUUAUAAUUUUUUUUAAAGAAAAAUUGGUAGACAAAUUUAUUAACUUAAUUUAGGCAUUAGGAAUGAUAAUGCAUCAUAGACAUUUUAGAGAAUGGAAAAAUAACAGAAAAGUAUUUUUUAAUUUUUUUUUUUGAAAAUCAUAAGAAAUUAUCAAAUUAUCAAGUGAUUCUGACGUAUUUAUAUUAUCUCUCAAUCAUAUGUGACACUUUGUUUUAUAUAUUAUUAUUUUUUUAUUUUUAAUUAUAUAAAAUGACUAAUGUAUAUACCGCAUGUUUUGUGUAAGGAAUAUGAACUGGCAAAAAUGGUAAUGAGGAAGGGAUCACUGUUUCAAAAUGUUUUGGCUCAGAGACCGAAGUUCACCG